rnacentral:tRNA from 1 species
GCGGUGGUCGUAUAACGGUCAUUACUCCAGCUUCCCAAGCUGGCAACACGGGUUCAACCCCCGUUCACCGCU